rnacentral:rRNA from 1 species
CCUACGGGAGGCAGCAGUGAGGAAUAUUGGUCAAUGGGCGUAAGCCUGAACCAGCCAAGUCGCGUGAGGGAUGAAGGUUCUAUGGAUCGUAAACCUCUUUUAUAAGGGAAUAAAGUGUGGGACGUGUCCUGUUUUGUAUGUACCUUAUGAAUAAGGAUCGGCUAACUCCGUGCCAGCAGCGGCGGUAAUACGGAGGAUCCGAGCGUUAUCCGGAUUUAUUGGGUUUAACGGGUGCGUAGGCGGCCUGUUAAGUCAGCGGUGAAAGUCUGUGGCUCAACCAUAGGAUUGCCGUUGAAACUGGGAGGCUUGAGUAUGUUUGAGGCAGGUGGAAUGCGUGGUGUAGCGGUGAAAUGCGUAGAUAUCACGCAGAACCCCGAUUGCGAAGGCAGCCUGCCAAGCCAUGACUGACGCUGAUGCACGAAAGCGUGGGGAUCAAACAGGAUUAGAUACCCGUGUAGUC